AUUGAACGCUGGCGGCAUGCCUUACACAUGCAAGUCGAACGGCAACAGGGGGGCUGGCGCCUAGUGGUGGCGGGCGGGCGGGUAAGGAAUACAUCGGUACAUGGUCGUUGGGGGUAGCUAGCCGAGCGAGAAGCUGAUUCCGACCACGUACUAUCGACGAAUGAGAGGGAGGGUCAGGCGUGCCGCGCGCGAUGCGGUUGGUGGAUGGCUGAUUAGCUAGUUGGUGGGGUAAAGGCCUACCAAGGCGACGAUCAGUAGCUGGUCUGAGAGGACGACCAGCCACACUGGGACUGAGACACGGCCCAGACUCCUACGGGAGGCAGCAGUGGGGAAUUUUGGACAAUGGGCGAAAGCCUGAUCCAGCAAUGCCGCGUGUGUGAAGAAGGCCUUCGGGUUGUAAAGUACUUUUGUACGGAAAGAAAUCCUUGGCCUUAAUACGGGCGGGGGAUGACGGUACCGGAAGAAUAAGCACCGGCUAACUACGUG
rnacentral:rRNA from 1 species